UAUAAGACAGGAGCUUCAAUAAGGCCCCGGGGAGACUUGCAUUGUGAGUUUGAUGCACUCAAGAACCGUGCCAUUUUCUUCUCUGAACAUGCUUCCUGACACCUGCUCAGCUCUACUGCUCCUGUUAGUGCUCAGCAGGAGCAAUGGAGACUCAGUGACCCAGACAAAAGGCCUGGUUACCAUCACAGAGGGGUUCCCUGUAUUGCUGAACUGCACUUAUCAAACUAUUUACUCAGAUACUUACCGUUGGUGGUAUGUGCAAUAUGCCAACAGAGCCCCUCAGCUUCUCCUGAGGAGCUCCACAGACAACAAGAGGACCGAGAACCAAGUGUUCCACGCCACUGUCCAUAAGAGCAACAGCUCCUUCCACCUGCAGAAGUCCUCAGUGCAGCUGUCAGACUCUGCCCUGUACUACUGUGCUCUGAGUGACACAGUGAGGGAGACUGAAGGGGAAGCUGCACACAAACCAAGGGUGCAAGAAGGCUGAGGGGA